AUUGAACGCUGGCGGCAUGCCUUACACAUGCAAGUCGAACGGCAGCACGGACUUCGGUCUGGUGGCGAGUGGCGAACGGGUGAGUAAUGUAUCGGAACGUACCUUUCAGUGGGGGAUAACGUAGCGAAAGUUACGCUAAUACCGCAUAUUCUGUGAGCAGGAAAGCAGGGGAUCGCAAGACCUUGCGCUGAUUGAGCGGCCGAUAUCAGAUUAGCUAGUUGGUGGGGUAAAGGCCUACCAAGGCUACGAUCUGUAGCGGGUCUGAGAGGAUGAUCCGCCACACUGGAACUGAGACACGGUCCAGACUCCUACGGGAGGCAGCAGUGGGGAAUUUUGGACAAUGGGGGCAACCCUGAUCCAGCCAUGCCGCGUGAGUGAAGAA
rnacentral:rRNA from 1 species